GAAGGGCGCUGUGUGAACAAAGUCCUGCCUUGUGAUCUUCCCCUUCUCUUCCCCAUCUUCCCCUUCUCUUCCCUUAGACUCAGUUCCUCUCUGCCCAAACAUCCUUUUGUCCCACUCUGGGACUCAAGGAGCCGUGCAAAUGGGAAAGAACCAGCUCUGGGUCAGCAGUGGGCUUGCUCAGAGCCACUGACAGCUCCCUGCCGGUGGGGCUGGCUCCAGGGGUGGGAGCUGAAGACAGACCGUGGCGUCUGCCCACUUCUGAGGGCAGCAGCCCAGCUCCUCGUGGCUCAGCAGCAGAAAAAUCAAUAUCUACCGCCACCAGAAGUGGAGUAGGGAGCAGCAGGACAAAAGGCUACACUUCAGCUGAGCAGCAGGGUCACUUGUGUGACCCCGGAGUUCUCACACCUAUUUCUCUCUCAUGAAAAUAAUCCUGGGUGGAAACAGCAAAUUUCAUCAGCUACUACAGUGAUUUUCAGCAAAGGAAGAAUCUGAAAUGUUCUGGCUGUCUGGAGAAUCCAUAACUGGAAUACAG